rnacentral:rRNA from 1 species
AUUGAACGCUGGCGGCAGGCUUAACACAUGCAAGUCGAGCGGGGGAGGUUGCUUCGGUAACUGACCUAGCGGCGGACGGGUGAGUAAUGCUUAGGAAUCUGCCUAUUAGUGGGGGACAACAUUCCGAAAGGGAUGCUAAUACCGCAUACGCCCUACGGGGGAAAGCAGGGGAUCUUCGGACCUUGCGCUAAUAGAUGAGCCUAAGUCGGAUUAGCUAGUUGGUGGGGUAAAGGCCUACCAAGGCGACGAUCUGUAGCGGGUCUGAGAGGAUGAUCCGCCACACUGGGACUGAGACACGGCCCAGACUCCUACGGGAGGUAGCAGUGGGGAAUAUUGGACAAUGGGCGGAAGCCUGAUCCAGCCAUGCCGCGUGUGUGAAGAAGGCCUUUUGGUUGUAAAGCACUUUAAGCGAGGAGGAGGCUCCUAAGGUUAAUACCCUUGAUGAGUGGACGUUACUCGCAGAAGAAGCCCCGGCUAACUUCGUGCCAGCAGCCGCCGUAACAC